rnacentral:lncRNA from 1 species
UGGUGAAGAAAGGUUUAUUACUUGCAUAGGCAGGGGAGAAUUCUGGGCAUCUCUCGCAAGCAGUGUCUCCCCAAACAAGGGUUUGGGAUUCCCUUUAUUGUGAGAUCAUAGUACGGUUCAUGAAUAUUCAGUUACGGAAAAGGCAGGAGCUCACGUUUGUUGCCUAACAGUCAUGUUCCUUUAAGUCUCAAGGGUAGCAUGUACACACGCUACUACAUAUAUAGCAUGAUCUAGAAACGGCUGCUUGGUCCCUCCCAGAGGAGGAGAAUUUAACAUGUUGACGAGAUUAUAAUAGGGACAUUUUACUUCAGAGCAACUUGAGGGGGCUAGAACUGGCUUCAGCUGGCCUGCUUGUGGGAAUCUUCGGUGGUUAGGCUCUUCCUGAAACUUUCUGUCUGCCAACACUCAACAGAUAACGUUAGUCUUUAUCAGAUCCUCAGUACACUUUUCUUGGUCUAGUUCCCUGGUCACAGUAUCUGUGCCUGUGUACCUUUUUGGCAAAACUUUGUCAGACUCCAGUUAUCAAUAAAGAUCAACAUGGAGAGAGACUAAUUAUUGCAUACGGUGAGGUGACCUUCAGUUGUGUGUUACUAAACAAGGAUCUCAGUUCCAAGAGCCUUCUCCCAACACCACCUUUCAAUGCAAAUAUCCCUGCAGAGGAAGCGUUCUGUCUGGCAUUCUGCUCAGACACCUAAACUCAGGGGCUGUCACUCAGACACCAGAGGGUGAGUCUUCUGAACUGUCCAAUCAGAAGCGGCGCCGGGGCAGGUGGGUGGGGCGCAGCUCACCAACCGCCCGGAAGUUGCUGCUCCGGUCGCGCUGGGGACCGCGUCUCCCCGCCAUUAAAGGGUCUAAGUGGCUCUGCCGCGUCUUCUGUCAUGUUGUGACCUGUAGCGACAGCAGUGUCAUAGGAAGGACUCGGGGGACCCAGGAGCCCUAGGAAUGGUUUGAAAAGAUGUGGCACCAAACCCAACAGCAAGAAGAAAAGGAAACAACAAAAAUUAGAGCAAAAUUAAUGAAAUGAGAAAUAGAAAAGCCACAGAGAAGAUCAAUGAAACCAAAAGUGGAUUUAUGGAGAG